ensembl:misc_RNA
CUGAAAGCCAGCAGAAAGCCCAAUCUAUUUAUCUACAGAACUGGUACAGCACAGGCAGCAGUAUAGUACAGGCUGCCCUAUGCUACCCCACCAGGGCACCUCAAUACUGGUUUAGAGGGAUGGGGAAAGUUAUUCAGCCUUUAAGGCUCAUUCAAGCCUUCAUCUCG